UAAGCUAUAUGGUUGAUCCUGCCAGUAGUCAUUGCUCCUCUCAGUAGAUUAAGCCAUGCAUGUGUAAGUAAAAAUAGUUAAGUUUGAAUAUACGAAUGUUUCAUUAUAUCAGAUAUAGUUUUUUAGAUGAAGAAUAUUAAUUGAAUAACCGUAUUAAUUAUAGAUCUAAUACAGGUAUACAGUGUUGUAGCAUGCAUUUAUUAGAAUGACAACCAUAGGUUUCGGCCUAUUCAUGAGUAAUAAUAAAUAAUCAUAUUUUAUGGUUAUGGAGAGAUCUUUCUAUUAUGUUUCCUACCUAUCAGCUUUGGUAGGUAGUGUCCUGGCCUCGCAGGCCAGGGGCGUGGGGAAAUGAGGUUGGGUUUCAUGGGAGGGAGCGAGCGAGAGAGAUGCCCCACACACGCAAGGAACCGGGCGCGCAAAUAAUCCACCCUCCCCACACGGGGGGAGGGAGACACAAUAACACACCAGGCCCCUCAGGGUUUCGCAAUUGGAAUGAGAACAAUGUACAAUCCUUAUCGAUAAACAAUUGGAGGGCAAGUCUGGUGCCAGCAGCCGCGGUAAUCCAGCUCCAA
rnacentral:rRNA from 1 species